CAAAAUAGACAUCAGGUAAACAGGUACGUUGGCAAAGCAAGAUUUGAUAAGAGUGAUACGCCCCCUAAAAGGGAGAAAUUUUGGUUUCCACAAAUCCAGAUUGAUUUGAACACCUUGAACCGGAUUGAUUUGAACAAAAGAUAAGGAUAUCAUCUGCCGGCAUCGUGAGUAAUCUUGAUACCUUGAAAGUAACCCUAUUCUAAGGUGGGGGAGCACACUUUAAUAGGGCAGGAGUACUUUUUGAUGUGGUUGCUCUUAGUUGUCAAUACAUGCUUUCCUCUUGAUGAUCCUCAAUUACAAUAAUUUUGCAUUUUUGGUGUAUUUCGAUUCACCAACCUGGGUUGGAUGGCGGUUGGGCAAUUGGGUCUCCGUCAUUAUUUUAUUAUUUUUUGGUUAUUUUUUACUUUUUAGCUGAUAUCAGUAGAGUAACUGAUAUAAGUUAUUGAUUU
rnacentral:lncRNA from 1 species